rnacentral:lncRNA from 1 species
UUAUUAGCAAGAGUUUAUUUUAUUUUCCUAACAACACAAAUAGGUAGAUGCAUUAUACAAGUAGGAAAGCUGAGACACAAGGCAUUGAAAUAACUGGCCCAGGAUCACACAGCUGAAAAUAGCAGCAAGUGACAAAUCAAUAUGUGGAAGUUGCAAGCAAAAUCCCAACACAAUGAGGCCAGCAUAGAAUACAAUUGCUAGAACGAACAGCGGAGGUGGUUUACUCUUUUCUCUUUCCUCUUUCAUAGCCACACCUGCAGCAUAUGGACGUUCUCCGGCCAGGGAUUGAUUCUGAGUCACAGCUGCAAUGCUGGAUCCUUUAACCCACUUUGUCAGGCUGGGGAUCAAACAUGAACCUCUGUAGGGACCUGAGCCACUGCGGUUGGAUUCUUGACCCUCUGUGGAACUCCAGCAGGAGUUUUCUCAUGGGCCUUUGGUCUCACGGGCAGCCUGCUUCAAACACCAAAAACAUGGUCAACAAAAAGAAGAUGGUAAACCAGGAAGAGGAUGACAUAUAUGUUUGCCUGGUGAGACUAGUUAAAAUAUAUCCGUAGGAGGCCCUGAUGUGUAAAGAAAAGAGGCUGUAAAGGAAAGAUGGGAUUCAUCAUAUAAUUAGCAGAAAUUUUGGUGCAAUGGGGCAUGUACUCCCCCCCCCCGCAAGAAAUCUUGUUAACGUGCCUAUUUAUUUAUUUAUUUAUUUUAUUUGUCUUUUUAGGGCUACACCCACGGUGUACGGAGGUUCUCAGGCUAGGGAGUUUUAAAAAAAAUAUGAAAGUCACCCUGACAGGUUUAUUAAGAGUCCGUGGCCAGGACUUUCAAACCCUGUCAGGGAAGGGAAUUGCGCUGGCUCAUCUUAGGUCCCACUGCCUUCUCUUUCAAGGUCCCAGUGGAGCUAAAAAUAGGAAUUAAUGUAUUUUUCAGAGGCUGCCUCAGUCACCAGCCUUCUGCGUCUCUGAGAGGACCCUGGCUCACACUGUCUCCUCCCUCGGUCCAUGUCUUGUGAGGAUACAUGCUCAAAUUUUACAAGUAAUGCCGAGUGAGCUUUAUUACCCAAAUGAAAAAUCCGUUUUAUGUAAGUUCAAUAUACGAUGAGGUAAGGCAGGCACAAAUAUUUCAAAGUUAGCAAAAGCUAAAACGCCACAGACUGUAAUAUCUAGGAAUGUUAAAAGGGUGUGCUUUCCCUUUGUCAAGUAUUAUUCCAGUCAUGCCAUUUCACAUACCCCAAGCUGUUAAUGACUUUGAUAAUGAGCCCUCCCUCUCAAUCUGGCAUUCUUGCAUCUCACAGCUUGGCAUAUCUAAUUUUUAUAGACCCUUACUUUCUCAAACUCGAACCCAUGGGUUUUUCUCUCACAACCCCAGCACUUUCCCUCCUACAAGGCUCAUAUUUGCAGUUUCUAUCUCUGAAGGUGGUAAAGAAUCUACUCUCAUGACUCUCUUUUCUUUGUACUCACGAUGUUGCAGUGAAAUCUUUGCAGUUUCUCUGCUGGACAUGGGAAAUCACAUCAAAUCUCACUCCUCCCAAUACAUCUCGGUCCACAGACUCAUCUUGGGAAAAGACAGCCCCCAUUGUGUCAGCCUUCUGGUAGACCAUCGGUCUGCCCCUAGACGUUGGGGAAAAGUCCUACAAGUGGCCUCUGAGGUCUUCCUUCCUAACACAUGGCUUUAUCUGCUUUGUCUCUCCUAAGCUCCAGCCAUCUUGGAUUCCUCCCAGAUCUUGGACCAAUCUCUAUUUUCUCCCACCCCAAGGCUUCCAAACAUAAUUUUCUUUGGCUGGAAAAUUUCUUCCAUUGACCUCCCAUUAUUCGUCCUUCAGGUUUCAAUUUCCUGUAGGUGUCUCUGGCCAAUCGCUUCCCCCCACCCCCUGGAACCUUACAGUUUUCCAUAGCGUUUAUGACACAUCCAUAAGCAUCUGCUUAAUUGCGUGGAAAAGGGAGGUACCCGUUCUUUCCGUGGAUGGGUCUCCAGCAGCUUGUAAAAUGCCUGGAAUAUAAUAGCCACUUAAAAGUAUAUUUGGUGUGUAAUUAUUCUCUGAAAUUGUCAACAUCUUCCUAAGGUUUCAUUACAAAUAUCUUCUUUCAGGGGGGCUUUGUAAAAAGAUGAUUAGGUGAGGGUAUGUUUGGGGGGGUGGAGAAUCAAGGGCCAGGGGAUGAUGUAUGGUUUACAGGAUCCAGAAAAAGAACACGAUAAAGCCCAGUGAAAGAUGUACUUAGGAUGAGUUAACUUCAAAGAAAGAGGAGAAAAAUGCCAAAAAAAGGGGACACUGACCCAGAAGAAGGUGGGGGCGACAAGAGGAAUGCAAAGAACAAGCAAAAUCCUCGAUAGAGUUAAUUAAUUUGAGUGGUUCUUGCUUUCUCUAUGACAUUUGAACAAUAUUCCGAAGUCAGUCUAGAAAGAAAUCCCCUGUGUCAGGCCACAAAAUAGAGCUUCCGGGGGUUUAUGCGUCUGCCAUUUCUCCACUUCCCAGACUGGAAAAACACAGUCAGAGAAGCACAGGCUGCUCUUCGGUUCAUCAGGCGUAAAAUGCCUGACAGCUCUCUCGGGAACUUCAUAUCAACCCUCAGAGCACCACAGCCUGUCAGGUAUUAUCACUCCUAGAUGGGUCAGCACUGUGGGUAUCUGGCCCCGUGCUGGUCCAUGGGGUACUUUGCCUCUAGACCAUACGAUGUCUUUCCCCAUCAUGUUGUGCCAAGAUUCCCAUGUUUUAACUUUGUGAUCUCAAAUCUUUCAUGAGAGGUUAUGUCUCCAUGCUGUGUCAGAAGAGAGAAAACCCUGUUAUCUGAAACUGUACACUGAAAAUAUUUAAAUGGUUGCCCAAAUCUAUCUUUGGCUACAGAAUAUUGUCUUGGGUGUGAAAUGGGAAUGAAGCUUUAUUACACAUAUAUUAUCUAACUACCACUGUGUUAAGCAUGUUCAUAUUUAGAGGGAAAGUACUAAGCACUACUCUUGUCCAACGCUAAUGAUGUACCUUUUUGACUCUAUUUUUAGUUCAAUGUUGGAUAUUUAU